rnacentral:rRNA from 1 species
UACGUAGGCCGCAAGCGUUGUUCGGAGUUACUGGGCGUAAAGGGUGCGUAGGCGGCUUCUUAAGUCUGGUGUGAAAUCUCCCGGCUCAACUGGGAGGGUGCGCCGGAUACUGAGGGGCUAGAGUGUGGGAGAGGAAAGUGGAAUUCCUGGUGUAGCGGUGAAAUGCGUAGAUAUCAGGAGGAACACCGGUGGUGUAAACGGCUUUCUGGACCAUAACUGACGCUGAGGCACGAAAGCGUGGGUAGCAAACAGG